rnacentral:rRNA from 1 species
GGGGAAUAUUGCACAAUGGGCGAAAGCCUGAUGCAGCGACGCCGCGUGAGGGAUGGAGGCCUUCGGGUUGUAAACCUCUUCCGCUCAUGGUCAAGCCGCAACGCAUGGUUGUGGUGAGGGUAGUGGGUAAAGAAGCGCCGGCUAACUACGUGCCAGCAGCCGCGGUAAUACGUAGGGCGCGAGCGUUGUCCGGAAUUAUUGGGCGUAAAGGGCUUGUAGGCGGUUGGUCGCGUCUGUCGUGAAAUCCUCUGGCUUAACUGGGGGCGUGCGGUGGGUACGGGCUGACUUGAGUGCGGUAGGGGAGACUGGAACUCCUGGUGUAGCGGUGGAAUGCGCAGAUAUCAGGAAGAACACCGGUGGCGAAGGCGGGUCUCUGGGCCGUUACUGACGCUGAGGAGCGAAAGCGUGGGGAGCGAACAGGAUUAGAUACCCUGGUAGUCCACGCUGUAAACGUUGGGCACUAGGUGUGGGGGCCACCCGUGGUUUCUGCGCCGUAGCUAACGCUUUAAGUGCCCCGCCUGGGGAGUACGGCCGCAAGGCUA